AACGUAGGAGGCGAGCGUUAUCCGGAAUCACUGGGCGUAAAGGGCGUCUAGGCGGAUGGGUAAGCGAGGUGUGAAAGCUCCCGGCUCAACUGGGAGAGUGCGCUUCGAACUGCCCGUCUAGAGGGAAGCAGAAGGGGGUGGAAUUCCCGGUGGAGUGGUGAAAUGCGUAGAGAUCGGGAGGAACACCAGUGGCGAAAGCGGCCCCCUAGGCUUUAUCUGACGCUGAAGCGCGAAAGCGUGGGGAGCAAACGGG
rnacentral:rRNA from 1 species